AUUGAACGCUGGCGGCAGGCCUAACACAUGCAAGUCGAACGAGUGGCGGACGGGUGAGUAAUCUAUGGGAAUCUGCCUGAUGGAGGGGGCACACUUCUGGACACGGUCUCUUAUACCGCAUACCAUCCGAUGUGCCCCGAUUUGCUUCGCGUGUUGGUGGGGUAACGGCUCACCAAGGCGACGCUCCCUCGGUGGUCUGAGAGGAUGACCAUAAACACGGGAACGGAGACACGGUCCAGACUCCUACGUGAGGCAGCAGUGGGGAAUAUUGCACAAUGGGCGCAAGCGUGAGGCAGCCAUGCCGGGUGUGUGAAGAAGGCCUUCGGGUUGGAAAGUACUUGCAGCGGGGAGGCGUUACCCGCAGAAGAAGCACCGGCGAACUCCGUGCCAGCAGCCGCGGUAAUUC
rnacentral:rRNA from 1 species